UGGUACUUCUGCUGUCAAGUAGCUGUUUAUGAGAUCGUAUUUUGUGUUUUGCGGAUAAAUUACGAGGAUUUGAUUUGCUAAAUCGAAGUUGAAGUUGAAAAAAGUGUUAUUCAACAUGUCCGUGUAUUGUAUUGUACAGUGUGGUGCCAGAAAGGACAGAAAUCAACCGUAUUUGUCACUUCAUAGGCCAUCUUUCAAUCCAAAAUUGUCGACUGGAUUUACUGAAACAGGUGAUAUUGGAAAACUAAUCCACAGCUGCAACGUCGUCUGUGCUGCCAUUGCCCGUACGUCUGUCUCAUAAGUCAGUACAUGAAAAGUCUGUUCAAGAAGACGCGAUGAAAAAAUUAAAAGAUAGCCAAUUUGAAGAAUAUUAUGGAAGAUCUGCAGAAUAAAAAUCAAAU